GAUGAACGCUGGCGGCGUGCCUAAUACAUGCAAGUCGAGCGAACGGACGAGAAGCUUGCUUCUCUGAUGUUAGCGGCGGACGGGUGAGUAACACGUGGAUAACCUACCUAUAAGACUGGGAUAACUUCGGGAAACCGGAGCUAAUACCGGAUAAUAUUUUGAACCGCAUGGUUCAAAAGUGAAAGACGGUCUUGCUGUCACUUAUAGAUGGAUCCGCGCUGCAUUAGCUAGUUGGUAAGGUAACGGCUUACCAAGGCAACGAUGCAUAGCCGACCUGAGAGGGUGAUCGGCCACACUGGAACUGAGACACGGUCCAGACUCCUACGGGAGGCAGCAGUAGGGAAUCUUCCGCAAUGGGCGAAAGCCUGACGGAGCAACGCCGCGUGAGUGAUGAAGGUCUUCGGAUCGUAAAACUCUGUUAUUAGGGAAGAACAUAUGUGUAAGUAACUGUGCACAUCUUGACGGUACCUAAUCAGAAAGCCACGGCUAACUACGUGCCAGCAGCCGCGGUAAUACGUAGGUGGCAAGCGUUAUCCGGAAUUAUUGGGCGUAAAGCGCGCGUAGGCGGUUUUUUAAGUCUGAUGUGAAAGCCCACGGCUCAACCGUGGAGGGUCAUUGGAAACUGGAAAACUUGAGUGCAGAAGAGGAAAGUGGAAUUCCAUGUGUAGCGGUGAAAUGCGCAGAGAUAUGGAGGAACACCAGUGGCGAAGGCGACUUUCUGGUCUGUAACUGACGCUGAUGUGCGAAAGCGUGGGGAUCAAACAGGAUUAGAUACCCUGGUAGUCCACGCCGUAAACGAUGAGUGCUAAGUGUUAGGGGGUUUCCGCCCCUUAGUGCUGCAGCUAACGCAUUAAGCACUCCGCCUGGGGAGUACGACCGCAAGGUUGAAACUCAAAGGAAUUGACGGGGACCCGCACAAGCGGUGGAGCAUGUGGUUUAAUUCGAAGCAACGCGAAGAACCUUACCAAAUCUUGACAUCCUUUGACAACUCUAGAGAUAGAGCCUUCCCCUUCGGGGGACAAAGUGACAGGUGGUGCAUGGUUGUCGUCAGCUCGUGUCGUGAGAUGUUGGGUUAAGUCCCGCAACGAGCGCAACCCUUAAGCUUAGUUGCCAUCAUUAAGUUGGGCACUCUAAGUUGACUGCCGGUGACAAACCGGAGGAAGGUGGGGAUGACGUCAAAUCAUCAUGCCCCUUAUGAUUUGGGCUACACACGUGCUACAAUGGACAAUACAAAGGGCAGCGAAACCGCGAGGUCAAGCAAAUCCCAUAAAGUUGUUCUCAGUUCGGAUUGUAGUCUGCAACUCGACUACAUGAAGCUGGAAUCGCUAGUAAACGUAGAUCAGCAUGCUACGGUGAAUACGUUCCCGGGUCU
rnacentral:rRNA from 1 species